GGCCCAGUAGCGGAUGGUCCGCGCCCGCUGAUAAUAUUCAGAUGCUCUUGAAAAGGCAGGGGUUGCUCGUUCGAAUCGAGCCUGGGCCU